UACCUUACUACUUGGAUACCUGUGGUAAUUCUAGAGCUAAUACAUGCUACAAACCCCAACUAAAGAAGGGGCGUAUUUAUUAGAUAAAAAACCAAUGCCCUCCGGGGCUCACUGGUGAUUCAUAAUAACUUAACGAAUCGCAUGGCCUUGCGCCGGCGAUGGUUCAUUCAAAUUUCUGCCCUAUCAACUUUCGAUGGUAGGAUAGUGGCCUACCAUGGUUUCUACGGGUAACGGGGAAUUAGGGUUCUAUUCCGGAGAGGGAGCCUGAGAAACGGCUACCACAUCCAAGGAAGGCAGCAGGCGCGCAAAUUACCCAAUCCCGACACGGGGAGGUAGUGACAAUAAAUACUGAUGGAGAGCUCUUUUGGGUUUUCUAGUUGGAAUGAGUACAAUUUAAAUUUCUUAACGAGGAACAAUUGGAGGGCAAGUCUGGUGCCAGCAGCCGCGGUAAUUCCAGCUCCAAUAGCGUAUAUUAAAGUUGUUGCAGUUAAAAAGCUCGUAGUUGAAACUCAGGCCUGGCUGGCCGGUCCGCCUCACCGCGAGCACUGGUUCGGCCGGGCUUUUUCCUUCUGGGGAGCCGCAUGCCCUUUACUGGGUGCGUUGGGGAACCAGGACUUUUACUUUGAAAAAAUUAGAGUGUUCAAAGCAGGCAUAUGCUCGGAUACAUUAGCAUGGAAUAAUAGAAUAGGACGUGUGGUUCUAUUUUGUUGGUUUCUAGGACCGCCGUAAUGAUUAAUAGGGAUAGUCGGGGGCAUCAGUAUUCAAUUGUCAGAGGUGAAAUUCUUGGAUUUAUUGAAGACUAACUACUGCGAAAGCAUUUGCCAAGGAUGUUUUCAUUAAUCAGUGAACGAAAGUUAGGGGAUCGAAGACGAUCAGAUACCGUCGUAGUCUUAACCAUAAACUAUGCCGACUAGGGAUCGGACGGUGUUACUAUAUUGACCCGUCCGGCACCUUACGAGAAAUCAAAGUUUUUGGGUUCUGGGGGGAGUAUGGUCGCAAGGCUGAAACUUAAAGACAUUGACGGAAGGGCACCACCAGGCGUGGAGCCUGCGGCUUAAUUUGACUCAACACGGGGAAACUCACCAGGUCCAGACACAUUAAGGAUUGACAGAUUGAGCGUUCUUUCAUGAUCAUGUGGGUGGUGGU
rnacentral:rRNA from 1 species